rnacentral:misc_RNA from 1 species
AAACUCAUAGACAGAUUGAUAGCUGAGAGCACUUGCCUUCAGGGAUCUUUCUCAACAUAAGGUGGUCAUUUGUUAGGCCUAAUCAUGUUGUGUAUGCAUUCAGAUCUAGGAUGUAUGGAACUAUACAUAUUAUUUUAUUGCUAAUUUAUUACAGAAAAUCAAAUACUAUAUUGUCAUGAAUAUAUUCCACAUGAAGUAUCAUUUCAGUGCAUGAUGAAUCUUCUUUUAUUUCUUUGUUAUAACCUUUUCCUAAUUGCUUCUACUAGCUCUAUCAUUCCCAAGCCAACUAUGUACCAUGUAAUCCCUGCUAACAUACCAUGUAACCAAGAGCUAUUAACAAUCUCCAAUGCCAAAGCACCACCUAUAUGUUUAUUCAAACUGCCAACAGCCUGAUCUCUUACUAUAAUUGCUGCAAUUGUUGCAAUCACCAUUGGAGCUCUCCAUCUUAUGGGAUUCAUUUGGUUAUCUCCUGUCUUGUAAUCUUUCUCAUCAAGAACUUUUGGCCCUUUAGUAUGUUUUGUAGCCUCUGAGGUGGCUUUAGAGCCAGACUUAUUGGUUGAGGCAGGAAGUGCUCCAGCUGAUGGAAUCCAGUACUCGUCGUGAUAUAGGUUGGAUGGUGCUUGACGAGCAGGUCUUGUGCUUUGGCUUGCAUGCUUUCUGGCUGCAGCGGCUGCCCGGAGCUUGUUAAUGUUUAGUUCGGUUGUAUUUUGAGCAAUCUGUGGGAGGUUUUGGUGAGGUUUUGAUGGGGGUCCUGCUUUUCGUGAUUGCCAAUAUAACCAAUUCGAGAUUGAUCUAAUUGCUUGAAUAGCUGAUAUUCUUGCUUCUCUUUGGAGGUCUGUUUCCUUGGAGCCUUGGGCAUCUGCCUUGUUCAUGGCUUCAACAACUCUGGUUUGGAACUUUUUCAAAUCAACAAAUAUGUUUGAGACACGUGCACCCGCCGUGUUGCCAGCGCCAACUCGCACAUUGCCUCUUGGCUGCUUGGACAUUAGGAACUCUAAUGCUGCUAAAUCUGACCUUUCCACCAUCGAGAUGCAAUCAACUGGACAUGUAUCAAUGGCAGCUUGAAUUUUGUGCUCAGGAUCAGCCCACUGUGCAACCACUCUUGCUCUUCCAUAAACAGAUUCAAUGGCAAAGGUUUUCUCUGCAAAUAAUGCACAUUUCAAGCAACCAACACACUUCACCUCAUCCACAAAUACUGCUCUCUCUUCGCUUUCCGACCCAAACCACACUGAGUAAAUGGGUUUCCCAGUAUACCCACGUAGUUUUGCAAUCUUUGCUUGUUCCUUAUCGUAAGCCAAACGCGAAUUUGGAUCGGAUAGAACAGAGUAAGCUUCGUUAAGAAUGAUAGCCAUGUCAUGCCCCGUAGGCCCGGCGAUGUCUGGGUGGCACCGCUUCUGCAGCGUACGAUAUGCCAUUUUGAUAUGCGAUUGAUCGGAGGAGCUAUCGAUGCCUAGAAGAUCAUAGAGGUCGAAAUCUGUGAUUGAAGAAGAGGUGGAAGCAGCGGGAGGUCUACGACAUGACGCAGAACUGUAACGUAGUUUCUUGGAAUUCGGAGGAAAUGAAGUGAAUGGUUUUGGAGUUAAGUUAUUAGGUAUGAUUGAGGCAGAAGGUAAGAAUGCAGAUGGAAGGAAAGCAGUAGGCAUUUUUUUUAAAAAAAAAUUUAAUUAAUUUCCUCCUCAAAAGAGAAGAUGAGAGAUAUGGCAGAUUUUGUUUGAGUAGGAGAUAUUUGUGGUUCACUUUUUGCUUUUG